rnacentral:rRNA from 2 species
CCUGGCUCAGGACGAACGCUGGCGGCGUGCUUAACACAUGCAAGUCGAACGGAAAGGCCCUUCGGGGUACUCGAGUGGCGAACGGGUGAGUAACACGUGGGUGAUCUGCCCUGCACUCUGGGAUAAGCCUGGGAAACUGGGUCUAAUACCGGAUAGGACCACACACUUCAUGGUGAGUGGUGCAAAGCUUUUGCGGUGUGGGAUGAGCCCGCGGCCUAUCAGCUUGUUGGUGGGGUAAUGGCCCACCAAGGCGACGACGGGUAGCCGGCCUGAGAGGGUGACCGGCCACACUGGGACUGAGAUACGGCCCAGACUCCUACGGGAGGCAGCAGUGGGGAAUAUUGCACAAUGGGCGCAAGCCUGAUGCAGCGACGCCGCGUGAGGGAUGACGGCCUUCGGGUUGUAAACCUCUUUCAGUAGGGACGAAGCGAAAGUGACGGUACCUACAGAAGAAGGACCGGCCAACUACGUGCCAGCAGCCGCGGUAAUACGUAGGGUCCGAGCGUUGUCCGGAAUUACUGGGCGUAAAGAGCUCGUAGGUGGUUUGUCGCGUUGUUCGUGAAAACUCACAGCUUAACUGUGGGCGUGCGGGCGAUACGGGCAGACUAGAGUACUGCAGGGGAGACUGGAAUUCCUGGUGUAGCGGUGGAAUGCGCAGAUAUCAGGAGGAACACCGGUGGCGAAGGCGGGUCUCUGGGCAGUAACUGACGCUGAGGAGCGAAAGCGUGGGUAGCGAACAGGAUUAGAUACCCUGGUAGUCCACGCCGUAAACGGUGGGUACUAGGUGUGGGUUUCCUUCCUUGGGAUCCGUGCCGUAGCUAACGCAUUAAGUACCCCGCCUGGGGAGUACGGUCGCAAGACUAAAACUCAAAGGAAUUGACGGGGGCCCGCACAAGCGGCGGAGCAUGUGGAUUAAUUCGAUGCAACGCGAAGAACCUUACCUGGGUUUGACAUGCACAGGACGUACCUAGAGAUAGGUAUUCCCUUGUGGCCUGUGUGCAGGUGGUGCAUGGCUGUCGUCAGCUCGUGUCGUGAGAUGUUGGGUUAAGUCCCGCAACGAGCGCAACCCUUGUCCUAUGUUGCCAGCGGGUAAUGCCGGGGACUCGUAGGAGACUGCCGGGGUCAACUCGGAGGAAGGUGGGGAUGACGUCAAGUCAUCAUGCCCCUUAUGUCCAGGGCUUCACACAUGCUACAAUGGCCAGUACAGAGGGCUGCGAAGCCGUAAGGUGGAGCGAAUCCCUUAAAGCUGGUCUCAGUUCGGAUUGGGGUCUGCAACUCGACCCCAUGAAGUCGGAGUCGCUAGUAAUCGCAGAUCAGCAACGCUGCGGUGAAUACGUUCCCGGGCCUUGUACACACCGCCCGUCACGUCAUGAAAGUCGGUAACACCCGAAGCCAGUGGCCUAACCUUUUGGAGGGAGCUGUCGAAGGUGGGAUCGGCGA